rnacentral:misc_RNA from 1 species
AAAACUAGUUGCCAAUUGACAUCAAAUGCAGUUUGUAUAUAAAAGAAGUUUUGAAAGAAAAUCAACAUUUAUCGUUAUCAACAUCAUGAACUAGAGCAACUUGAUAUCACUAUAAUUUAGUUUUAUUUGUAAAAAUUGCUUUAAGAGGAUUAUGUUUAUAACCAUGCUGGAUUCUUCAAUGGUGUCACAACUGCCUUUACUUGCAAGUAAUUUUUGAGACCGUAUUCUCCCUUUUCUCUUCCCUGACCACUCAUCUUAUAGCCACCAAAAGGAAUUGUAGCAUCAAACGUAUCAAAGCAAUUAAUCCAUACCGUCCCAACUCUCAAGGCUCGUGCCAACGUGUUUGCAGUGUCGAUGUUCUGUGAAAAUACUCCAGCAGCUAGACCAUACCGAGAACUAUUAGCUCUCCGUACCACUUCAUCAAGAUCCUUAAAUUUUAAGAUGGACUGUACUGGACCAAAAAUCUCAUCCUGUGCAAUCAGCAUAUCAUCCUUAACAUUAGAGAAGACGGUGGGCCUAAUAUAGUAUCCCUUUUUACCAAAUUGCUCACCGCCAGUUUCAAGAGUAGCUCCACUAUCAACACCAGAUCUAAUGUACUUCAUGAUCUUAUCGAACUGUUUUGAAUCAAUCUGAGGACCCUGCUCAGUGCCUGAUUUAAACGGAUCACCAACUACUCGUUUCAAGGCGCGUGCCUUUGCCUUCUCCAGAAAUUCAUCAUAGACCUUCUCGUGAACAUAGGUCCGAGAACCAGCACAACAACAUUGGCCCUGAUUAAAGAAGAGAGCAAAAUGAGCUUGUUCAACGGCCGUAUCAAUAUCAGCAUCCUCACAAACAAUAAAAGGGGAUUUCCCUCCAAGUUCCAAUGUCACAGGCUUAAGAUUGCUCUUAGCAGCCAAUUCAAGUAUGGUUUUCCCGGUUUCUGUUGAUCCAGUAAAAGCAAGCUUAUCCACAUCCAUAUGGCUGGCAAGAGCUGCACCAGCA